UACAGAGGGUGCAAGCGUUACUCGGAAUUACUGGGCGUAAAGGGUGCGUAGGUGGUUGUUUAAGUCUGUUGUGAAAGCCCCGGGCUCAACCUGGGAAUGGCAAUGGAUACUGGACAGCUAGAGUGCGGUAGAGGGUAGUGGAAUUCCCGGUGUAGCAGUGAAAUGCGUAGAGAUCGGGAGGAACACCAGUGGCGAAGGCGGCUACCUGGACCAGCACUGACACUGAAGCACGAAAGCGUGGGGAGCAAACAGG
rnacentral:rRNA from 1 species